GCACCUUCGGUGUCCGAUUUGUAAUUUGAAGAUUGUAACCUUGUGGGUUGGCUCUUGUCUAUGUUUCUUGGAACAGGACGUCACAGAGGGUGAGAAUCCCGUGCGAUGAGAUGCCCAAUCCUAUGUAAGGUGCUUUCGAAGAGUCGAGUUGUUUGGGAAUGCAGCUCUAAGUGGGUGGUAAAUUCCAUCUAAAGCUAAAUAUUGGCGAGAGACCGAUAGCGAACAAGUACAGUGAUGGAAAGAUGAAAAGAACUUUGAAAAGAGAGUGAAAAAGUACGUGAAAUUGUUGAAAGGGAAGGGUUUGAGAUCAGACUCGAUAUUUUGUGAGCCUUGCCUUCGUGGCGGGGUGACCCGCAGCUUAUCGGGCCAGCAUCGGUUUGGGCGGUAGGAUAAUGGCGUAGGAAUGUGACUUUGCUUCGGUGAAGUGUUAUAGCCUGCGUUGAUGCUGCCUGCCUAGACCGAGGACUGCGAUUUUAUCAAGGAUGCUGGCAUAAUGAUCCCAAACC
rnacentral:rRNA from 1 species